rnacentral:rRNA from 1 species
CAGCCGCCGCGGUAAUACGGAGGGUGCGAGCGUUAAUCGGAAUGACUGGGCGUAAAGGGCACGCAGGCGGUUAUAUAAGUCAGAUGUGAAAUCCCCGGGCUCAACCUGGGAACUGCAUUUGAGACUGUAUGGCUAGAGUGUGUCAGAGGGGGGUAGAAUUCCACGUGUAGCAGUGAAAUGCGUAGGGAUGUGGAGGAAUACCGAUGGCGAAGGCAGCCCCCUGGGCCAAUACUGACGCUCAUGCACGAAAGCGUGGGGAGCAAACAGGAUUAGAUACCCGAGUAGUCCCUGUCUCUUAUAC